UCUCCCCUUUUAACGUUAUUCUCAAAUAUUUCACCUUCCAAGUUCCGAGAUUCUCUUCAAUCUUCAAAUAAAAGUUAUUUUAAAUUUGAUUCUUCAAAAAAUCUAUGCAUUAAUUCAAGGAUUUUCUUAGUCUAUAAACAAUCAGGUAUUCAUUAUUUCAUCAAAUUUUGAAUUUGAUUAAGGCUCUGCGGUUAAAAUGGCUCAAAAGAUGAGAUCUAACUUUCUUCAUGAUUCUAUCCGCAUCAAGUUCUAGAUAGCAAUGUCAGGUAAAGACAUUAUUGAUAAAUAAAUAAAAUUGUGUGCAUAAGAUUUCGAAAAACAUGAUGAAGACCAAGUUGAAGAACAAUUUACUAUUAGUUUGUUUUGUAUUUAUAAUUUCUUUUAAAUUUUGUAUUAUUUCUAAAUUUGUAUUUAAACCAUUAUGUAUGCUUUUAGGGACCGUUUGGUAGGCCACAUUCACACAAAUAGUCCAUGUAAUAUGUAUGUUAUUAUUUAAUACUAUGUUUGAUA